CCUACGGGUGGCAGCAGUGAGGAAUAUUGGUCAAUGGGCGUAAGCCUGAACCAGCCAAGUCGCGUGAGGGAUGAAGGUUCUAUGGAUCGUAAACCUCUUUUAUAAGGGAAUAAAGUGUGGGACGUGUCCUAUUUUGUAUGUACCUUAUGAAUACGGAUCGGCUAACUCCGUGCCAGCAGCCGCGGUAAUACGGAGGAUCCGAGCGUUAUCCGGGUUUAUUGGGUUUAAAGGGUGCGUAGGCGGCCUGUUAAGUCAGCGGUGAAAGGCUGGGGCUCAACCGUAGGAUUGCCGUUGAAACUGGGGGGCUUGAGUAUGUUUGAGGCAGGCGGAAUGCGUGGUGUAGCGGUGAAAUGCUUAGAUAUAACGCAGAACCCCGAUUGCGAAGGCAGACGGCCAAGCCAUGACUGACGCUGAUGCACGAAAGCGUGGGGAUCAAACAGGAUUAGAUACCCGGGUAGUC
rnacentral:rRNA from 1 species